rnacentral:lncRNA from 1 species
UAUGGGAAUGACUGUCUCCAAAGUCCAGGGUGAUUUGAUCCUAGUCUUUCUGUCACACUGAGGAUGUGGCGCAGGUCAGGGCUGGAGUCCCUUUAGACCACUGGAGAGCCUCCCUUUCCGUGGAAACCCAUGGGGAAUCUUAGAUGAUAUAGCUCCUGGAUUCCCUUUGCCCUCAGGCCUGGCCAGGGUGCGGAAGGAGGCAAUGGGGAUGGGGAAUAUAUGCCUCUGAACAGCUGUGCCUGAAGUGGCCCGCUUCCACAUCCCUGGGACCAGGACGCCCUCCAAGGGAAAGGACCCAAAGCUGCCUGGAUUUCCAAAGAUUUUGGUCCAGACUCUAGAUGGUCAGGGCUGGUGGCUUGGGGAAGCAGCCCCCACUUCUCUGAGCCAUUGCUGAGAAAGUAGGAGGGAACAAUGGCUUAUGGUGACAGACAAGAGGCCACGAGGAGACCCCAGACUCUUUUGCUAGGGACCUUAGUUCAAGAGCACCACCUGGCAGUAUUCUCCUCCCCCUGCCUUAUUUCUCCUCAGGAACAGACUGUGUUCCUGUGUUUACCUGGGGGGUGAGCUGGGUCUGGGUAUUUCUCUGUAUGUGGGCCCUUCCUUGUCCCCCACCCAACGGAUGCCUGGGCUGGAUUGUAUAUUUCCGGAGUUGCCUACUUGAAUCACAGGCUUUUAUUUUUAGAAGAUUACAAAUGCGGGGGCUGGAAGAGAGAACUGAGGGCCCGGAGCUGGGGUGGGGGAAGAAGUUCAGGGUCUGAAUACGGUGCAUAUGGGACAGGAGUGGGGCAGGCACUAAUAAGGAAGGAAUAAGUGAGAUGGUGGGAAAAAACGAGGUGAGGAAGUUGGGAGGGGUCCCACUCUCCCAGUGCCCCAGCACCCUGUGCGGGAUCAGACUUUUCUCGGGCUGGGGAGGGCCUCUGGAGGGGAACGGGUCAAGGGCCACCUCUCCGGCAUGUAGCUGGGUCCCCUGAGAGGCUGAGGAGCCUGGGAAAGAGAUGAGAAAAUCGCUCCCCUUCCCCCUCCCCCAGGCCUUUGGGACUGGGAGAGAAGCUUCCUGUGCAGACAACUUCUCCAUCCCCUGGGCUAGGACGUCUUAACCCUUCUAGUGCUGGUAUCAGAGAAACAGCAACACAGAUGUGCACAUACAUUCUUGCAGAAUGGCCCAAAUGCUACGUCCCAUACAGGUGUAGGCCUUGCUCUUGUUCUGCCGUGUUCAACGUGCACCUCCCAGCUCCUGACCCCAAAGCCCCAGAUUACUCAAAGCAGCAAGAAUUCAGCGGAUUCUCCUACCAGAGCACAGACUGAGGAAAAUGGAGACCCUUCACCUGGGCAUGGGUGGCACAGCAUCUCUUCCUUCACUAUUGGGUAGUGAGAAGACAUCAGACAGAACUUAGAGCUUGUAGAGUUAGGAAGUCCCCAUCCUGCCAUUAAUAGGGAGCUCCAGGCUGACAGGAAAGGAGCCUUAAAGCCAAGAGAGCUGGUUUGCAUUUCUGUCUCUGUGUAUGACCUUGAGAAGUUACUUAACUUUCUUGACUUUAGGUGCAGCUUCUGAAAAACACGAGGAAAUCAAACCAGAGAUGGUCUGGUGCCGUAAGAGGCAAAGAAAGGAUAUCUUUCUUUGGCUUUUCAUUCCCUGGAAUCCCCUGACCAAGGCAGCCCCAAGUCUCCAAACACCGAAUUUCAGGGCUUUCCUCUCCGUCUGCUCCAUAAAGGCAAGAAGCCAUUUGCUGUCUCCACCCCUGAAUGACCAUGCCCAGCAUGGUAUCUUGCACACAGUUGGCUUCCAAUAAGCUUGUGAUAAGCAACUAAAUAGAUACAUGACCCACCUUGACUUUGGGAUGGGAUUUUUUUUUUUUCUUUUUCCAUUGUCUUCUCAAGAGUACUAGACUAGAAGUUAGAAAGACCCGGCCCAAGGCUGGGCGCUGUGGCUCACGCCUGUAAUCCCAGCACUUUGGGAGGCCGAGGUGGGUGGAUCACGAGGUCAAGAGAUCGAGACAAUCCUGGCCAACAUGGUGAAACCCCGUCUCUACUAAAAAUAUAAAAAUUAGCUGGGCAUGGUGGCACACACCUGUAGUCCCAGCUACUCAGGAGGCUGAGGCAGGAGAAUCGCUUGAACCCGGGAGGCGGAGGUUGCAGUGAGCUGAGAUCGCAGCACUGCACUCCAGCCUGGGCAACAGAAUGAAACUCCAUCUCAAAAAAAAAGAAAGAAAGAAAGACCCAGCCUUGGGUUCAUGCUCUGACUGUUACUUACCACUUGUGAGGCUUGGGACAAGUCACAUUGCCUCUCCAAGCCUCAAUUUCAUUUAUCUGUCAAAAGGACGUUAGAAAGAAAGCAUCUACCUUAUGGGCCUGUUGUCAGCAUAAAUCCAAAAAGCCUUUGAAAACUCUAAGGUGAUAUACAAAAGCACGUAGGAUUGUUAUCGGUAAUACUGGUAGUCCUAGACCUAAUUUCAGGGGUGGUCUGAAGUGUGGCACUUUUGAGCCUGAGGCAGCAGCUUGACAGAUGUAUGAUCUUGAGCAAGUUUCUAAACCUCUCUAAGCCUCAGUUACCUCAUCUACAAAAUGGGGAUUCUAAUAGUACCUGAUAGUAAAUAUAAAUGGUUUGCACCAUGCCUGGCGCAGCAAACUCCAUAAAUAGUGGCUAUUGUUAUCCUCACCUCCCCCAUUAACUCCUCCAGCAGCUUUGCCCCCACCUUCCCACCUCGAGGUGGUUGUUGCACCCAUACCUUUCUUGCACAAAGACAGAUAUUCCCAGCUUUCUACUUUGGCCUGAUUUGGAUGAAAAUUUAUCUCCCAGAAGCUGCCUGCCUCCCAGCCCUGGAAGGAGACAGAGUAGGAGUGAGGGUUGCUCAGGGGAGGCCAGAGGCUGAGGGGCUUUGAAUUGACUGUGUGUGUGGUGGGGUACGAGGAUCAGAGGCUGACCCAGCACCCCCACCAGCCACCCCAGAUCGAGGCUGCUCAGCCUGCCAGGCGGGGCACAUUGAUGCUGGGAGCUGCUUAUCAGGUUAGAGCGGAGCCACUGUCUCUGGCUGUCUCUGCACAUUACCCGACCCAUCCGUCCUGCUCUCCUGCGCACCCUGCCUGCCCCCAGCUCUGCCUGCGCUAACUAGUUAAUUGGAUCUUGGCUAACCUGGUUAUGGGCCAAGUCAGCCAACUCUCCUGCCUCCAGAAGCAGGGUGGGAGAGAGGCAGAGCCGCUGUGCAUGUGUGCAUGAGCAUGUGUGUCUGUGUGCUGGAGCCUGUCUUUGGACUGGAUCUUGGUCCCUAAGGUGAGCCCAGAGCACCCUGCCCCACUGUGACAGGUGGAAGGCACUGAGUCACACGACCUGAUUCCAAAGCGCAGCCAUACCACAAACAUAGUCUAUAUGACUGGGGUGGGAAGCUGAACCUCAGCUUCCUCCUCUGUAAAAUGGGGCUUAUAAAAUGUACCACCCAGGGUGGUACAUUUUAUCAAGAGAAACAGAACAUUCACUUCAGUGCCUGGCACUUAGUAGGCACUCUGGGAAUUACAACCAAUCAUCAUCAUCUUUAGUCACAUUGGGUUCCUGCCAUCCUCCCCAAUCCUGGGGGGUUUGUAGGAAACAUCUCAGGGUGGGGGGUAGGAGAAGCUUUCAUUCACUGUUCUUUGCAGGUGUUUCCUCUGAGGCUCAACUCCAAUCUCCUCAAUUGUUCCUUAUGCAAAUGUUAUGCUAAUGAUCACAUCAGCGCUCCCCCGAGCCCAGCGCCAGGAAGGUGACGCGGGGCUGACUCCCCAGCUUUCACUUUGGCCAAGUCCCUCGCCUUCCUCCCCAAAAGAGGAGCAAAUGCUGGUCCUCUGACAACACCAGUCCUCAGGGCAGAGAGAGAGAGACCUCGAUGGAGAGAGAAACAAUGAAAGGCCCCAGUCUUGGUAGGAGACGUGCAGCCUCGUCAUCACCAUAAUCAUCAACAUCAAAAAGGCCUUUGGAAACUUCAGAUUCUUCCCCGCCUUGUGCGGAUUACUCUACAAUUAUAGAGGCCCAGCCCCCAACCCUGAGGAGCUGGAGCUGGGGCUGGAGGUGGGGAGGAGCUGGAGAGGGAGAAGGAGAGCUAGAAUUUCUUUUUUUCUUUUCUUUUUUUUUUUUUUUUCUGAGACGGAGUCUCUCUCUGUCACCCAGGCUGGAGUGCAGUGGUGCGAUCUUGGCUCACUGCAACCUGUGCCUCCCGGGUUCAAGUGAUUCUCCUGCCUCAGCCUCCUGAGUAGCUGGGACUAUAGGUGCCUGCCACCACGCCUAGCUAAUUUUUGUAUUUUUAGUAGAGAUGGGGUUUCGCCAUGUUGGCCAGGCUGGUCUCGAACCCCUGACCUCAGGUGAUCCACCUGCCUCGGCCUUCCAAAGUGCUGGGAUGACAGGCAUGAGCCACCACACCUGGCCAAGAGCUAGAGUUUCUAACUGGCAAGUAAUUUUCCUUAAGGACAGGGACCAUGCCCAGCAUCGCCCCUCCCCAGCGCUCAAGCUCCAGGAGGACAGAGGUCCCCCAAUAAAGUGUAGAGAUCAAAACUGAGGAAGUGAUCCCAGCAGUUCUUGUCCCACCAUGCUUUCACUUUCUUACCAGCUAUGUGACUUCAUCUCUUUGUCUUGUUUCCCCAACUGUAAGAUGGGUAUAAUAAUUCCCACUUUUUACGGUUUACUAUGAGAAUUAAAUAAGUAAAAUCUUGUAGGCCUCCAGGAAAUUCAAUCAUAACUGGGGAAUAGAGUGACAGCAAAGGAAAAGCAAUUCCCAUUCCUGUUCUGUGGCCCACAUUAGCUGGGCGGUCAGAUAUAACCUGUCCCACUUUGCACCUGGCAACUUGAUGUGGGAUCAGUUUUCUGAACCAAGGCAAAUAAUAAAAUCAAAUGGUGUGUGCCCUCCCAGCUAGGUGGGUUUGAGAUUGGGGUCUCCGCUGAACAUUUAACCUGCCCUCUGGGUUAAUGUUGGACAAGAUUUAUAGCUGGACUUUAGUCUUCUGACGCUAUCCUCUAAAUGGUAUAAAAAUAGAGAUGGAGUUGGGGGAGGUGGUUUCGGCCCGAACAGCCAAUUAGGCCAGGAAGAAGAGAAAGUAGCUUCCCCAAGUCUUCCACCCCUACCCACCCACCCCCAUCUGCCUUUUUCACCUAGACCAAGUAUUCCUAUCCCAAGACUACAGACUGUCAAGAAAGUUCCCUUGAUUCUGCCCACUCCUUACUGCCCACUGUGCCCCGUUACCUGUGUCCAGACAGCCCCUAAUCUACUGCUUAGUCCCCACCCUGAGCUCCUCCGUCCUCAGGGCCCGAAUCCACUCACGUCUUCCUGGCAGGGUUGUAAGGAAAGGGUAG